rnacentral:sRNA from 2 species
GUUGAAUAUGCGCUGAAUUUUCUUAGGAAAAACGGGGGAACCAAACUUGGCAUAUGUGCCAAUGGGGUGAAUCGGAAUGGGUCGAUUAGACUUAUACCGUAGGGCUAAACCACAGCCCGAAUCCGCCAGCUAACCUCGUAAGCAAAGGUGGGAUAAUGA